GCUAUUAAAGGUUGUUUUUUUCUUUUCCCAUUUUAGGUUUCCUAUAAAUUUGGAAAGGAGAGAGAGGUGGUCUUCAAUUUUGGGUCUAUGUAAUCAGGCAAUUCCAAAGUACUCCCAUAUUUGUUCAAGCCAUUUUGAUCCUAGUGAUAUCAUGAUCACACAAAUAACAGGCCGAAAGCAAAUUAGACCAAAUGCUGACCCUCAGUUUUAUCCUUCGAUUUUCUUGGAUCCUCCAUCUUGCAGCUCCGAUUCCAGUGUUAUGGAGACACCUCCAAAAAAGUUUUCUGAAUCCAAUGCUGCUGAUUGGGAAACUUUUUCCAAUGCUGUCGAAGAUAAUACUAACCCAAGUAGUCUUCCAAAUAUUGAAUGUUUUAAUUCGAGUAUAUCUAAGACCGAACACGUCAUAGUGCCAGAUAGUACAGAUAGUACUGAAACAGCAUCAGAGACAGCAUCAAAGCAUUCAGAAAGAAUCAGAAACUGCUGCCAUAUCAUUGCCUGCCUGUAGUUCAAAAGCCCAAUGUGAAAAGAUAUCAAGGAAAAGGAAAUUUAGAAACUAGCGAUUUUUCUACUCCUGAGAAAAGAAGCAAAAAUUUACAACUUGUUAAAAGAUGGGAUGAGAGACGAAGAUAUAAAAUUCAUAUAUUACAAAUGAAAGUUAGAAGACUAAAGCUUAGAAUUACAAGUUUGCAGCGUUUAAUUGAUUAUUUAAAAGAAAAGGCUUUAAUUAGUGAAACAUCAGAAUCUGUCAUAAAGGCUUCCCUUGAUGGACCAGCUAUAAAUAUUUUUGAACGGAUGUUGAAAAGUUCUUCCAGUCAAAAAUACAAUCCUAUAUUAAGAUCAUUUGCUUUGACUUUGGCAUUUUAUUCACCUAAAGCAUAUGAAUUCGGUAGAAAUACGUUCAACAAACGUUUACCACAUUUGGGAACAAUAUCAAGAUGGUAUGAAUCAGUUGAUGCAAGUCCAGGAUUUUCAAAGGAAGCACCUAAUGCAUUAAUUUUAAAACAGGCAAACUGUGCAUAUCCAAUUCUUUGUAAUUUAGUCAUGGAUGAAAUGUCAAUAAGAAAACAAGUUGAGUGGACAGGCAAAAAAUUUACAGGGUAUGUUGAUAUAGGUACCCAGUUAGACAGUGACACUUUACCAUGGGCUAGGGAAGCUUUAGUAUUUAUGCUAGUUGCUGUUAAUGCAUCUUGGAAAAUACCCAUUGGCUAUAUUUUAAUUGAUGGCUUAACAGCUGUAGAGAAAGCUCAGCUAGUAACAAAUUGUUUGGAAUUUGUAAAUAGGAGUGGUGUUACUGUUAAAUCUUUAACUUUUGAUGAAGCCCCGUCAAAUAUUUCAAUGUGUGAACAUUUAGGUGCUAAAUUUGCUAAUCCUUUAAAU